rnacentral:piRNA from 1 species
UUUUUUUUUAAGUCAAAAAAG